rnacentral:lncRNA from 1 species
GGGGGAUUGAGAGAGAGAAAACAUAUUAAGUGGAAUUUCAAAUAUUUUGUUUAUUUUUUUUUUAGGCAAAGAAUGCAAAGCUUACCCAGGCAGCAAGAGCUGACGUGAUGAAAGACUACCCUUAAACAAAAAAAAGCCUCUGACAUCCACACAAGAUACUUCUGACCAGACAAACAUUGACACGGUUGACACAAACAUUGACAUGUUUGAAAAGAAAAGUUUACAUUAUAUAUGUUUUCUAACUUUUUAUCUUUAUUUUUUUAUGAUUUUUCUUUGAAGGCAACUCAAAGUUUCCUCUCUGUUUUUAAGGAUGAUGACGAUAAUGUUGGUGUGUCACAUUCAAAAUUCUGUGGUCCACUUGCUGCAUCAACUCACAGAGAGGAUGAUGACGAUAAUGUUGGUGUGUCACAUUCAAAAUUCUGUGGUCCACUUGCUGCAUCAACUCACAGAGAGGUAAGUCCUAAAUUAGUCAGUCAACCUAUCAUACGAUUUACCUUGAGAAAGCUGAAUAGUGGCAAGAAUGCACUUACUCUGUAUUGUCAAAACUAUCUGCUUGCCUGCCUGGCAUCUGGUGGCAUCCUAGAUCACGACACCACAGUGCUGGAAUGCACUGAGCUCCUGAGAGCGACACUUUCUUUCAGUAGUGUUUGUAGAAGCAGUCUGCAAGACUAGCUGCUUGCUUGGUUUUAUAUAGCUGUGGCCAUGGAAGUGAUUACCUGAAUUCAGUGAAUUGGGUGGGCGAGCAAACACUUUUGUUAAUACAGUGUACAAUAAAAGAAUUAUUUAUAAUGCCUCUUAUGCA